rnacentral:lncRNA from 1 species
UGCCGCCUGGAGUUUUUAAAGGAUUGACAAACAUGCAGUCCAUGAGCUUUUAUUUCAACAAAAUCCGCACAGUGAGCAACGAGCAAUUCAAAGAUAUCGCGCCAAGUAUUCGAUUCCUUUACUUCCACUACAACCAAAUGCGAGAACUACCGGCCGGUUUCUUCUCGAACAUGAAAAAUUUGAUAACAG